rnacentral:rRNA from 1 species
GACGAACGCUGGCGGCGUGCUUAACACAUGCAAGUCGAACGGAAAGGCCCUGCUUUUGUGGGGUGCUCGAGUGGCGAACGGGUGAGUAACACGUGAGUAACCUGCCCUUGACUUUGGGAUAACUUCAGGAAACUGGGGCUAAUACCGGAUAGGAGCUCCUGCUGCAUGGUGGGGGUUGGAAAGUUUCGGCGGUUGGGGAUGGACUCGCGGCUUAUCAGCUUGUUGGUGGGGUAGUGGCUUACCAAGGCUUUGACGGGUAGCCGGCCUGAGAGGGUGACCGGCGACAUUGGGACUGAGAUACGGACCAGACUCCUACGGGAGGCAGCAGGGGGGAAUAUGGCACAAUGGGCGGAAGCCUGAUGCAGCAACGCCGCGUGCGGGAUGACGGGCUUCGGGUUGUAAACCGCUUUCGACGGUGACGAAGCGUGAGUGACGGUAAUGGGUAAAGAAGCACCGGCUAACUACGUG